AAACGACCUCAGUUCGGGCGAGAUCACCCGCUAAACUUAAGCAUAUCGCUAAGCGGAGGAAAAGAAACUAACAAGGAUUCCCUUAGUAGCGGCGAGCGAACAGGGAAAAGCCCAGCGCCGAAUCCCACGGUCCGAAAGGACCGAUCGGGAAAUGUGGCGUUAAGGAGGAUCCGCAAACCCCGGAGUCGCGCGAAGCGAGUCCAAGUCCUUCUUGAAAGAGGCCGAUCCACCCGUAGAGGGUGCCAGGCCCGUAGGACCGUUUCCCGACGACGGGUCGGAUCUCUCCCUAGAGUCGGGUUGCUCGAGAUUGCAGCCCUAAGUAGGUGGUAAACUCCAUCUAAGGCUAAAUACUACCACGAGACCGAUAGCGAACAAGUACCGCGAGGGAAAGUUGAAAAGAACUUUGAAGAGAGAGUUCAAGAGUACGUGAAACCGUUCAGGGGUGAACCUGAGAAACCCGAAAGGUCGAAAGCCGAGAUACAGCGUUCGUCCGCUGUCGUCGAUCGAAAUAUUCGUCGUUCGUCGGCGAUUUUUCGAGGCGCGGCGCGGCGACGUGCACUUUUCGGCGAGUAGGACGUCGCGACCCGUUGGGUUUCGUAGCCGACGCGAUACGGGGAUGCGCGGGAAGCUCGGAAGGACGAAACGGGCCGUGCGCUCGUCCAGUUCUCCGAACCCGUUCGUGUCCUCUUCGGCGUUCGGCACGCCCGACGCGAUGUAAAUUAUAAACGAACCGACCGGUGGAGCGCCCACGUGCGCGCCCGUCCCGUCGUCGUUCGACGAACGUAGUUCGGUACCGGCUGAUUUCGGCGAACAAGCGUCGCCGACUCCGGGAAAGGCUCGUUCCGACGCGACGGUGUUCUCGGGCGUCCCGCAACCGCCGUCGGUCUGCGACGCUAUUGCUUUGGGUAAUCUCAGGACCCGUCUUGAAACACGGACCAAGGAGUCCAACGUGCGCGCGAGUCAAUGGGCGUAUAUUAUAAACCCAAAGGCGAAGCGAAAGCGAAUGUCGAGUUGCGCGUUUCGGCGCGCCGCUCGUCGAUUGGGAGGAUGGGCGAUCUCAUUUAAAAAGGUUACCCCGCACUCCCGGGGCGUCUCGCCUCGGUAUCGGAGCGUUGUCGUCGAUGCGGCUUCGGUCGUGUCGGGCCCUUCGGUACCGGAGACGCACCUCUAGCGCGCACGCUGGGACCCGAAAGAUGGUGAACUAUGCCUGGUCAGGACGAAGUCAGGGGAAACCCUGAUGGAGGUCCGCAGCGAUUCUGACGUGCAAAUCGAUCGUCAGAACUGGGUAUAGGGGCGAAAGACCAAUCGAACCGUCUAGUAGCUGGUUCCCUCCGAAGUUUCCCUCAGGAUAGCUGGCGCUCGCAUCGAGAGAGUCUCAUGCGGUAAAGCGAAUGAUUAGAGCGAAUCGGGGUCGAAACGACCUCUACCUAUUCUCAAACUUUAAAUGUGUGAGAUCUCCGGCUUGCCCGAUUAACGAAGCCGCGAGAUCGGAUCUAGAGUGCCAAGUGGGCCAAUUUUGGUAAGCAGAACUGGCGCUGUGGGAUGAACCAAACGUAAAGUUAAAGCGCCCAAAUCGACGCUCAUGGGAAACCAUGAAAGGCGUUGGUAACUCAGGACAGCAGGACGGUGACCAUGGAAGUCGGAAUCCGCUAAGGAGUGUGUAACAACUCACCUGCCGAAGUUACCAGCCCUGAAAAUGGAUGGCGCUUAAGCGUCGUGCUUAUACUUUGCCGUUGGCGGCAUGCGAAAAACGAUCGUGUAAAAGCGAUCGCGUUGCAAACAGAGGCCCCGACGAGUAGGGGGGUCGCGACGGUGAGCGCAGAAGGACCGGGCGUGAGCCCGUCUGGAGCCGCCGUCGGCGCAGAUCUUGGUGGUAGUAGCAAAUACUUCAGCGAGCACCUGGAGGACUGAGGUGGAGAAGGGUUUCGUGUGAACAGCAGUUGCACACGAGUCAGUCGAUCCUAAGCCGCUAGGCGAAAGCCGAUGCUGAUGGGGCGCCGACGUAUGUCUUUCGAACCUUCGCACCUCCCCGCGCCGGCCGCGGUCGCGCGGCUCGUUCGAGCGCGACCUAAACCGAGCGAGAGGGGAGUUGUCGACGAAGUUGUUUUUACGAAAACGUGUCGCGCCCCUAGGGCGAAAGGGAAUGCGGUUCCUAUUCCGCAACCCGGCAACGGAACCGCCAUUAUUCGGGCCCUCAUUGAGAGUUCGUCUGGGCAACCUAACACGACCCGGAGACGCCGUCGGGAGGUCCGGGAAGAGUUUUCUUUUCUGCAUGAGCGUUCGAGAUCCAUGGAAGCCCAUAGCGGGGAGAUAUGGUUCGGAACGCGAAGAGCACUGCAAUUGCCGCAGUGUCCGGAUCGUCCCCUCGGACCUUGAAAAUCCGGGAGAGGGCUACGAGGAGCGACCGUGCCGGCUCGUACCCAUAUCCGCAGCUGGUCUCCAAGGUGAAUAGCCUCUAGUCGAUAGAAUAAUGUAGGUAAGGGAAGUCGGCAAAUUAGAU
rnacentral:rRNA from 1 species